ACGAACACAAUCAGAGUUUUAAUACAAAAUAUCCUGGCUCUUCCAAGCCCAAGUGAAUGGCGCUCCUGAUUUUGAAGUCCAGAAAAGUGCAUCCAUUUAUCAUAAAAGUAUCCAUCUCUGUUGACCUUUCCAGACUGCUUCCUUCUUUAUAACUGGGGCCGCAUCUGAAACAAAAGCAAAAUUAUGGGUCUGGUUUGGCUGGGUGGGAGAGGAGAGGAGUGACCCUGGCAUGUGGUUCUCCUGAGCCCGACCAGGCCGAGGACGGGAAGAUCUAAACUGGUGCUGGCAGAGACGCUGGAAAAAAAGCCACAUAUUCCUGAAGACAUCUCUUGUUUUUCCUCUUUUGUUGAGAGAUUCAGGGAGUCGUGAAGUGGAGCCCUCCUGCCCCUUGUUCAUGGCCAGCGUUGGAAAAGCAGUGUGGAAGUGACCAGUGCGCUUUCACCUCUCACCAUGGCGGAUCUCCUCGCCGCUCUGAGGCCAGAGGACUCGCGCCAGGCAGGGCCUGCCGAAAGGUGAUGUGUGUGGUCCCGACUGGUCCAAGACAGAGGUUCGGUCUGACAGAGCCGGCCGGCCGCAUGACCAAUCACUGUCCGGGAAUUCGAGAAACACCAGAAACCUCUGUGUCGUCUUGAAAGACUCAUCCACAGGAAAAAACAAGUACAAGCUGGACUUCUAAUUGAGAUGACAGAUGGUUUUACUUAAUCAGUAAUCAGUCUGGAGAGAAUCUACAGAACGUUGAGUUGAUAAAGAAUUGUGGUUUAGAAGAAUAAUAGAUGGACUCAGUGCAAAAAAAUCAUUAUCUUCAUCAGUAUUUUAGUCUUGUUGUCCAAUACAAAUA